rnacentral:rRNA from 1 species
UGCGUAGGCGGUUUGUUAAGUCUGUUGUGAAAUCCCCGGGCUCAACCUGGGAAUGGCAAUGGAUACUGGCAAGCUAGAGUGUGUCAGAGGAUGGUGGAAUUCCCGGUGUAGCGGUGAAAUGCGUAGAGAUCGGGAGGAACAUCAGUGGCGAAGGCGGCCAUCUGGGACAACACUGACGCUGAAGCACGAAAGCGUGGGGAGCAAACA